rnacentral:tRNA from 1 species
AAGAAUUUAGUUUAUUAAAACAUUAAUUUGUCAAAUUAAAAAAAUUAUUAACAUAAUAUUUCUUU